CUUUCUCUCUGGACAUCCCACAUGGGGUAGUCACCCCACUUGGAGAAUACCUACACAAGACUCUUUCCAGUUAACCAUAAUAACUUGGUUUUCUAACCCUCUCUCUUUUAUUUUAGAUUUUAUUUUUUUAAUGAGCUUACAACUCAGUAGGCUUCUUUAUGGAAUCUUGAUAUAUAAUUUUGGCUGCUCCGUUCCUCUUCCUCCCUAAAGUGGUGGCACUGAUUCAGGAGUCUGUGCAACUUUUAGGAUGCAGGGUCUUGCUGGGAGCACCAAGGGGUGAACUCUGAAGGUACAACCCAGCCCAGCAUCCAGCCUCCCUCUCUGCUCCCUGGCCCACCACUAUGUGAACAGCCUCUCUCCACACUCCUGCCGCCAUGGACUGAGCCCCUGCUGUGCCUUUCCUGCAGGGAAGGACUGAAACCACCAGCCAAAGCUAAUCUUCCUUCCCUCAGCUGUUUCUGGAUGCCAGGGUCCACGGAGGGUCUUGAGAAUCUGCAUCGCUAGCAAUUCCAAAGUGUGACUGGAGCGGUCCAUCCAAGGACUACCUGCUGUGAUCUGCAUCAGUACUUUCUCUGUUCUGCAGCGAAGCAGGGGUCUUCUACUGACGCCAAGACGAUACAAGUUCAGUGCAAUUCCAUCCUUCCCGGGCGUCUGUUCUCCUCCCAUCUGCUCACAUAUCCUUGAGCCUGGGCACCUUCCACAUCCUCCAUCAUUCAGUGGUGAGGAGCACACGGGAGUUAUUUAAUCACUUUCCUCUGUGAUGUAUCUCACCUUGGUCUACUUGUGAGCCGCCAUAUGGAAUGAGCCAAUGACAUGGGACCCAGCGUCCUUCACACUGGAAAGAUAAGCUUCUAUAGGCACAAGACUGUUUCCCAUGGCUCCAAGUUCCCAAGCUGAUCCACAUACAGAGUUUUACCAACAUCAACUUCAAAAAUAAAUUUAUGAGUGCUGAAAAGUAA